rnacentral:rRNA from 1 species
CGACCGGCGCACGGGUGAGUAACACGUAUGGAACCUGCCCUAUGCAGGGGGAUAAGCGGAAGAAAUUCCGUCUAAUACCGCAUAACACCUUUAGGAGACAUCUUCCUGGGGUCAAAGGAGGCGACUCCGGCAUAGGAUGGCCAUGCGUCGCAUUAGCUAGUCGGCGGGGUAACGGCCCACCGAGGCGACGAUGCGUAGGGGUUCUGAGAGGAAGGUCCCCCACACUGGUACUGAGACACGGACCAGACUCCUACGGAAGGCAGCAG